UCAAUUGCGAUGAUAGGAACAAGUACGUUUGUCUCACGUUUCUCAGAGAGCCGGUGGUUGGUGCGAACCGGUGAAACAAGCAGACCGAAUGGAUCCUUGAGCUUGAAGCUGAACACUGUGUUGAAUCACCGGAACCUAGGCCGGACUAAAACCACAGUUAAUUAUGCUAAACGGUAGCUCUCCGUUAUCAGAGCCUGAAGGUUUACAUGAGCAUAACUUGGUUAUGUGCGUAGACAAAUUAGGGUGGUACCACGGUCUCUCGUCCCUUGC
rnacentral:ncRNA from 1 species